UGAAUGCGUGCAAACAGUGCAAUCCUGCUCUUAUGCACCUAUUUAUCAUCUUAACUUAAUAUUUUAUUCGCUCUUAUUGCCCAUAAUGGAGCGCGUCUCUUAGCUCCUACUAGCGUCGCGCCUGCCUCAAGAUCUCUCACUGUUUACAGGUACCAGACACUCUGAUUGACACAUGAGAGCAAACGGAUACAUAAAUAAGAGCAGGAUUGCACAAUUUGUCAUCUUAUAUUUUAUUCGCUCUUAUUGCCCAUAAUGGAGCGCGUCUCUUAGCUCCUACUAGCCUCGCGUCUGCCUCAAGAUCUCUCACUGUUUACAGCUACCAGACACCCAGGACUGAUGCAGGAGAGCACAGAACAAAACAUGUCACAGCCAAGGUGAGUAAAUUGAACAGACACGUGAACAAUAGAACACAGCAGAGAUUCUUCCAACCCAACAAUGGAAGGAUAUAUGCACCAACAGGUGCAAACAUAACACUUGCAGCUGAAGGAAAACUAACAGUCAACCUUGAGUGGAUGAAAAACUUCAGAAGUAAUCCAAGACUUGCAGCAAAACCCAUAGAAAUGGACGACUUCUCAUGUCCACACCCUGAGACCAGCACAUCAGACCAAGAUGCAUUUAGACAUCUAGACUCCCUGGAAGGGUGGACUGAGGGAAAACCACAGCAAUGGCACAAAAAUGAUGGAAGAAACUGU